rnacentral:rRNA from 1 species
GUGCCUAACACAUGCAAGUCGAGCGAAGAAGUCCCUUCGGGGAUGGAUUAGCGGCGGACGGGUGAGUAACACGUGGGUAACCUGGCUCAAAGAGGGGGAUAGCCUCCCGAAAGGUUGAUUAAUACCGCAUAACCCGACACUGUGGCAUCACAGAGUCGGCAAAGGUUUACUGGUAUAGGAUGGGCCCGCGUCCCAUUAGCUAGUUGGUGAGGUAAGAGCUCACCAAGGCGACGAUGGGUAGCCGAUCUGAGAGGAUGACCGGCCACAUUGGAACUGAGAUACGGUCCAGACUCCUACGGGAGGCAGCAGUGGGGAAUAUUGCGCAAUGGGGGGAACCCUGACGCAGCAACGCCGCGUGAGUGAUGAAGGUCUUCGGAUCGUAAAGCUCUGUCAUCAGGGAAGAAAAAAAUGACGGUACCUGAUGAGGAAGCCACGGCUAACUACGUGCCAGCAGCCGCGGUAAUACGUAGGUGGCAAGCGUUGUCCGGAAUUAUUGGGCGUAAAGGGUGCGUAGGCGGCAUAUUAAGUCAGAUGUGAAAAUCCGGGGCUCAACUCCGGACGUGCAUUUGAAACUAGUAAGCUAGAGUACAGGAGAGGGAAGCGGAAUUCCUAGUGUAGCGGUGAAAUGCGUAGAUAUUAGGAAGAACACCAGUGGCGAAGGCGGCUUCCUGGACUGUAACUGACGCUGAGGCACGAAAGCGUGGGGAGCAAACAGGAUUAGAUACCCUGGUAGUCCACGCCGUAAACUAUGAGUGCUAGGUGUAGGGGAUAUCAUGUCUUCUGUGCCGCAGUAAACGCAAUAAGCACUCCGCCUGGGGAGUACGGUCGCAAGACUAAAACUCAAAGGAAUUGACGGGGGCCCGCACAAGCAGCGGAGCAUGAGGUUUAAUUCGAAGCAACGCGAAGAACCUUACCAGGACUUGACAUCGUCUGCAUAUCCUAGAGAUAGGAGAAACCCUUUUAGGGCAGAUAGACAGGUGGUGCAUGGUUGUCGUCAGCUCGUGUCGUGAGAUGUUGGGUUAAGUCCCGCAACGAGCGCAACCCUUGUUAUUAGUUGCUACCAUUAAGUUGAGCACUCUAAUAAGACUGCCAAGGAUAACUUGGAGGAAGGUGGGGAUGACGUCAAAUCAUCAUGCCCCUUAUGUCCUGGGCAACACACGUGCUACAAUGGCUACUACAGAGAGAAGCGAGACUGCAAAGUGGAGCGAAUCUAAAAAAGUAGUCCCAGUUCGGAUUGUAGGCUGCAACUCGCCUACAUGAAGCCGGAGUUGCUAGUAAUCGCGAAUCAGCAUGUCGCGGUGAAUACGUUCCCGGGCCUUGUACACACCGCCCGUCACACCAUGAGAGUCAGCAACACCCGAAGCCUGUGAGGUAACCUUAAUGGGGCCAGCA